CAAAAUCAAGAAACAAUCAAGCCAAAUAAAAGGACUACUAUGAAUUGUUGACAAUAUGGAUGAACAUGACUUGACAAAACAUGUAUAGAUUCAGAAAAUUAAAGACUCAAAGCAUAAUAUGAACCAAAUAAUGAAAGCAAUAAAGACUCAAAAGCCUAAAAGAAAAUAGCAACUCAAGGUGUAUGGAAUCCUAUCACAAAUUGCACAAGAACUUGUUCAAGAUCAAUUGAACAAGAGUGCUUCGGUUGGAUCUUCCACAAAGCACACCAAACAAAUUAAAAUGUAAAAAAAACAGCAAGACAAGUAUGGAAAUUAAAUGACAAUAUGAAAUAAAGAAGAACUAAAAUUGAAAAGACCAAGAGCUACUCAUCUUGAAGAACCAAAGCUCAUGAU
rnacentral:lncRNA from 1 species